rnacentral:rRNA from 1 species
CAGCAGCCGCGGUAAUACAGAGGGUGCAAGCGUUAAUCGGAUUUACUGGGCGUAAAGCGUGCGUAGGUGGCUGUUUAAGUCGGAUGUGAAAGCCCUGGGCUUAACCUGGGAACUGCAUUCGAUACUGGAUAGCUAGAGAUCGGUAGAGGGCAGCGGAAUUCCGGGUGUAGCGGUGAAAUGCGUAGAUAUCCGGAGGAACACCGAUGGCGAAGGCAACUGCCUGGGCCUGAUCUGACACUGAGGCACGAAAGCGUGGGUAGCAAACAGGAUUAGAUACCCCCGUAGUCCCUGUCUCUUAUAC